rnacentral:rRNA from 1 species
GAUGAACGCUGACAGAAUGCUUAACACAUGCAAGUCUACUUGAACUUCGGUUUGGGUGGCGGACGGGUGAGUAACGCGUAAAGAACUUGCCUCACAGUUAGGGACAACAUUUGGAAACGAAUGCUAAUACCUGAUAUUAUGAUUUUAGGGCGUCCUAGGAUUAUGAAAGCUAUAUGUGCUGUGAGAGAGCUUUGCGUCCCAUUAGCUAGUUGGAGAGGUAACGGCUCACCAAGGCGAUGAUGGGUAGCCGGCCUGAGAGGGUGAACGGCCACAAGGGGACUGAGACACGGCCCUUACUCCUACGGGAGGCAGCAGUGGGGAAUAUUGGACAAGGGACCAAAAGUCUGAUGCAGCAAUUCUGUGUGCACGAUGACGUUUUUCGGAAUGUAAAGUGCUUUCAGUUGGGAAGAAAAAAAUGACGGUACCAACAGAAGAAGUGACGGCUAAAUACGUG